CGGAAGAAGAACGCCUAUAGCUGUGGUCUCUUCAUUUUCCUGUGUCUCGGACGUUUUUCAACAUCAGAUACUGUGCAAAGGGCACAACGUCAUCCUCCAGGAUGGGGGAUAGGAAUCCCAACCAAGCGUUUGACCCUGGUCGUCCACCACUGGCUGCAUCGAAGACAAGGGACCGUACUGGCCCUUCCACUGUCGCCCUUGAAUCUUCCGACAGCUCAACGGUUGAAGAAAUGGACUCGGACAACGAUUUCACACUUGCCAUGGGUCGCCGUUUGAAGAGAAAACUCAGGAGGACAUCAACAGACAGUGAAUCGUUGCCCAGGCAGGACAGCGGAAGCCACUGGGAUAUCACGAAAGCCUUGGGAUAUCAUCGGAGCUGCGCCUGCACGCCUGGCUGACAGCCGAAGAAUCAUCGUGCCGAUCAUCGCAUCGAUAACUGCGGACAAGCCCCGUGACCGCACUCUGGCUGUUACUAAGUUUAGAUUUCAGCGCCGACUUCGAUUCGCUUCACCGCACGAGAGAGGCAUCACGCUACCGUUGGCAAGGCGGUCACAAACGGCACGCCAUGGGGCGGAUCUCUAUUGACAGCGUGGACAGAUGUAAACACCAGCGUUCAAAUGGACAAACAUUUUGGAAGCUUCCCUGGAGGUUCCCGAACGAAGAGUAUCGACGUAUUCCUUCAUCCCCGCCGGCAAGAGUUGUCCUCUAAAGCUAAAUGGAGCCUUGAAACUUUAACUCAUUGGCCUCAACUUUCACAAUGAAUAUACUUGCAGACGUAUCCCUUUCACAGUCUCCGCAACACUUAAAAGCUUAAAGACACGACAAUGUUAUCAUUACUUUUUGCGAACUCGCACAAGAUGAAAACGAAGUGGGCUGCGGCUCCAGCUAAAAUAGCAAAGUGCAGCAUCGGUUCAGCCCCGCUGGUGCUCAUGGAGUGAGGCAAGUGCCCUCUAUACCUUCGAACAAAUCGUUACGUCCGCAGCAAGCACCUACGAAAGUGCAGCAAAUGGCUCCAGGUUGACUGCGUUUUACCAGACUAGGUAAACAAUUACAAGGAAAGUAAAGUUAUAUAUACUAUAGUGGCAGAUGGCUUCACAGCUACAAAACACCCUAUAAUCAAAUGCAGACGUCAUUUCGAAUUGAACACGCUGUUUAAUAAUCGAUAGAGGCGACACCGGAAAGUGGCACGUCAAAUAUAUUGCCAUCGCUUCGAUCGCCAUAGUGCAAUGGUAGGUUACGUAAGCCCUUUGGCAAUAAUAAAUGGCCGCCAAACACGCAUCAACGGGCCAUAAAUCACGCGGCCUAGAAUUAUAUAGCAUUCUACCAGUAGAAAACGGAAACCAAUAUAACGAAAGUGACUGCUCUCGUCCUCACGAGAGGUCUCAAAUAUAAAGGCUCCUCCACCUCGCCCUCCUCUCCUCUAUAUUUAUGUGACCUUUGCACAAGAACGGUUCUUUCGCCUUUCCAGUGUUAUUCGCUGCACCGCUACACAAAAGC